GAUUACCUCAGUAACGGCGAGUGAAGCGGUAACAGCUCAAAUUUGAAAGCUAGCUCUUUUAGGGUUCGCAUUGUAAUUUGUAGAAGAUGCUUCGGGUGUGGCCCCGGUCUAAGUUCCUUGGAACAGGACGUCAUAGAGGGUGAGAAUCCCGUAUGUGACUGGGUGCUUUCGCUCAUGUGAAGCUCUUUCGACGAGUCGAGUUGUUUGGGAAUGCAGCUCAAAAUGGGUGGUAAAUUUCAUCUAAAGCUAAAUAUUGGCCAGAGACCGAUAGCGCACAAGUAGAGUGAUCGAAAGAUGAAAAGCACUUUGGAAAGAGAGUUAAACAGUACGUGAAAUUGUUGAAAGGGAAGCGCUUGCAACCAGACUUGCGCGCUGAUGAUCAUCCGGGCUUCUGCCCGGUGCACUCGUCUGCGCUCAGGCCAGCAUCGGUUUCGGUGGUGGGAUAAAGGCCUUGGGAAUGUAGCUUCUUUCGGGGAGUGUUAUAGCCCUCGGUGCAAUGCCGCCUACCGGGACCGAGGACCGCGCUUCGGCUAGGAUGCUGGCGUAAUGGUUGUAAGCGACCCGUCUUGAAACACGGACCAAGGAGUCUAACAUCUAUGCGAGUGUUUGGGUGUCAAACCCAUACGCGUAAUGAAAGUGAACGGAGGUGAGAACCCUUAAGGGUGCAUCAUCGACCGAUCCUGAUGUCUUCGGAUGGAUUUGAGUAAGAGCAUAGCUGUUGGGACCCGAAAGAUGGUGAACUAUGCGUGAAUAGGGUGAAGCCAGAGGAAACUCUGGUGGAGGCUCGCAGCGGUUCUGACGUGCAAAUCGAUCGUCAAAUUUGCGUAUAGGGGCGAAAGACUAAUCGA
rnacentral:rRNA from 1 species